UGAGGAAUAUUGGACAAUGGAUGGAAAUCUGAUCCAGCCAUGCCGCGUGCAGGAAGACGGCCCUAUGGGUUGUAAACUGCUUUUGUAUGGGAGCAAUAAGGACUACGUGUAGUUUGAUGAGAGUACCAUACGAAUAAGCAUCGGCUAACUCCGUGCCAGCAGCCGCGGUAAUACGGAGGAUGCGAGCGUUAUCCGGAUUUAUUGGGUUUAAAGGGUGCGUAGGCGGCGAUAUAAGUCAGUGGUGAAAUAUUUCGGCUUAACCGAGAGACUGCCAUUGAUACUGUGUUGCUAGAAUCUGGUUGCUGUUAGUGGAAUGUUUGGUGUAGCGGUGAAAUGCUUAGAUAUCACACAGAAUAUCGAUUGCGAAGGCAGCUCACAAAGCCAUUAUUGACGCUGAGGCACGAAAGUGUGGGGAUCAAACA
rnacentral:rRNA from 1 species